rnacentral:lncRNA from 1 species
UAUAUAAUACUAUAGCCAUUCAUGAUGGAAUAAUAUAGAAAUUUUUGGACAUCUCCUUCGAUAGAACUAAUGGUAUAGAUGGCUUUUUUGGAGAUGAAAUUUUUGAACGCAAAUUUAUAUUCAUUUUUAGACGUAACCAGCAACCGCUCCUGGUCAGGUCAAGACAUGUUUAUAAAAAUCUGCUUUCGAAAAUUCCAUCACAAAAAACCCAUCUACUGUAAUCAUUUUGUCAACAUAAUUAAGGUCAAUAUCAGACCGCAUAUCCCAGACCCUACAGAUUUGAGUUGUUGGAAGGCUAGGCUGAACAAGUUACUGACCGAGUUGUGGUAUUUACAUAAAUAUACUAACGUACUUUAAAUCAGUGACUUUAACUGCAUGAAGAUUCAGUUUAUCUACAGUAUAAUGCAACGCUGUAUAUCUACCAAAGGUCUGUUUCAGAAAAUGCACAAAAUGCAGUCCUAGAAAUGGAAAAAUACAAACAUUUUCUGGGGGGGGAAUGCCCCCAGACCCCCCUACUAUUACAUACGACUUUUUUCACCAACAACCGUCUGUCAUCUCUCCAAAUGCAGUACAGUGUGGCCCUUUUCAGUAGAUUCCCCCCCCCCCCCCAUUCUGUGUCCGCCACUAUAGUGGACUUAGACCGCUAUUCUUUGUUAUCAUGAUGGCUUCGACAAGGGAGCUUGGUCGACUACGUUAGAGUACGAAUUCUUUAGUUUGGAGACGUUCAUUUUUAAUGUUCAAAUUGCUAUUUAUUUCUAUAUACAUGUAAAAUCUUCUUCAUGCAGAAUACAUCAUAUUUUCCCAAGAAUUAUACAAUAUUCUGCGUGCUACAUUUAAAAAUAUUUAAACAACUGCAAGACUAGACAAAAUGCUUGUGGACUACCCCUUUUUCCAAUUCUACGCUUUCGUAAACAAAAACGAUAGUACAGUAUAAUUAGCCAUGUGAGUUUUCGAAAGCCAAUUGUGAGAUCUGGACUGCGCGUCAAAAUUGACGCGUUCUGCGUUGGAGUAAAUCGCGGUUGAAUCAUAACAUGGAAAGAUUAAAUAUAUGCAUGUCAAAGUAUUGAAAUGUUCAAUCAUUAUUUGUGUUUUACUUAUGGCCACAAUAGAACUGUCAAUAAAUAAUGUUUGUCCUAGCAUAUUUUGUCCUCUCUUCUCUCAAAUAUAUAUAAAGAAAGAAAAUUUUCUCGCGAAAAUAAAGAAAGGUACACUUGAUCAGGGAUUAUAUUUUCUAAUUUUAAGCGAGUCAAUCCGUACGAAAACCAAUUUCUUUUAAGCAACUUUUUUGCAAAUUCAAAUGACAAUUGAAGAGUUGAAUAUUUUGAUAUUCAUAUUCGAAUUCAUCUGCAGCUACAUGAAUGUUUCUUGCACUUCACUUGGUGAAUUAAUAUUAGAAUGUCAGGGUUUGUAAUCCAAGUGAGUAUAUAUACAUUUUAAGACCUGACCAGGAACGACAGCGAAAAUUAAAUGCAGCACAAGGUCCUCUACCAGAGGAACUUGUGCUGCAUUUUCGCAGUCGUUCCUGGUCAGGUCUUAAAAUGUAUAUAUACUCACUUGGAUUACAAACCCUGACUUUCUAAUGUUAUAGUUCAACACAUCAAUCUAUCUUGACGCAUAACGCGUCGUUUGGACGCGCAGUGGACACUCUGAACCAUUAAUACUGGAUCAACCUCGUACCCAGGGUUUCUGCGCAAAGGCUCUGGGUAUACGGGGUCGUACAUU